CUGCUGUAUCAUUGAUGAGGGGUAUGGAUGCAGCUGAGAAUUUUCCACUGUCAUAGAGUUAUAAUUUAUUUCACUGGUAUAUAUGGUAAUCUGAAUAAUU